UGCAGUCGAGCGGUAGAGAGAAGCUUGCUUCUCUUGAGAGCGGCGGACGGGUGAGUAAUGCCUAGGAAUCUGCCUGGUAGUGGGGGAUAACGUUCGGAAACGGACGCUAAUACCGCAUACGUCCUACGGGAGAAAGCAGGGGACCUUCGGGCCUUGCGCUAUCAGAUGAGCCUAGGUCGGAUUAGCUAGUUGGUGAGGUAAUGGCUCACCAAGGCGACGAUCCGUAACUGGUCUGAGAGGAUGAUCAGUCACACUGGAACUGAGACACGGUCCAGACUCCUACGGGAGGCAGCAGUGGGGAAUAUUGGACAAUGGGCGAAAGCCUGAUCCAGCCAUGCCGCGUGUGUGAAGAAGGUCUUCGGAUUGUAAAGCACUUUAAGUUGGGAGGAAGGGCAGUUACCUAAUACGUGAUUGUUUUGACGUUACCGACAGAAUAAGCACCGGCUAACUCUGUGCCAGCAGCCGCGGUAAUACAGAGGGUGCAAGCGUUAAUCGGAAUUACUGGGCGUAAAGCGCGCGUA
rnacentral:rRNA from 1 species